GACGAACGCUGGCGGCGUGCUUAACACAUGCAAGUCGAACGGAAAGGCCUCUUUCGGGGGGUACUCGCGUGGCGAACGGGUGAGUAACACGUGAGUAACCUGCCCUUGACUUUGGGAUAACUUCCGUAAACUGGGGCUAAUACCGGAUAGGAGCUCCUGCUGCCUGGUUGGGUUUGGAAAGUUUCGGCGGUUGGGGGUGGCCUCGCGGCUUAUCCGCUUGUUGGUGGGUUGGUGGCUUACCAAGGCUUUGACGGGUAGCCGGCCUGAGAGGGUGACCGGCGAUAUUGGGACUGAGAGACGGCCCAGACUGCGACGGGAGGGAGCAGGGGGGAAGAUUGCACAAGGGGUGGAAGCCGGAUGCAGAAACGCCGUGGGCGGGAGGACGGUCUUCGGGUUGAAAACCGAUUUCGCUCAUGACGAAGCUUUGUGUGACGGUAGUGGGUAAAGAAGCACCGGCUAACUACGUG
rnacentral:rRNA from 1 species